UAAAGUUCGCCCGUUUCGGGUGUCCUGCGGGCCUUCGCCCACGGGAUGAAACGGGAAGCCGGUGCGUUGCGCGCGAAGCGCAGCAAGGCCGGCGCUGCCCCCGCAACGGUAAGCGAGAGAACAUCGGACGGCGGAUAGCCACUGUGCUGCGGCACGGGAAGGCGUCGUCCGAUGGCAUGUGCCAUGGCCCAUGCGGCUCGCAAGCCCGGAGACCGGCCCGAAUCGAACGUUUCUG
rnacentral:ncRNA from 2 species